UCCAGACUCCUACGGGAGGCAGCAGUGGGGAAUAUUGCACAAUGGGGGAAACCCUGAUGCAGCGACGCCGCGUGAGCGAAGAAGUAUUUCGGUAUGUAAAGCUCUAUCAGCAGGGAAGAAAAUGACGGUACCUGAGUAAGAAGCUCCGGCUAAAUACGUGCCAGCAGCCGCGGUAAUACGUAGGGAGCAAGCGUUGUCCGGAAUUACUGGGUGUAAAGGGAGCGUAGGCGGGAAUGCAAGUUGGAAGUGAAAGGUAUGGGCUCAACCCAUGAACUGCUUUCAAAACUGUAUUUCUUGAGUGAAGUAGAGGCAGGCGGAAUUCCUAGUGUAGCGGUGAAAUGCGUAGAUAUUAGGAGGAACACCAGUGGCGAAGGCGGCCUGCUGGGCUUUAACUGACGCUGAGGCUCGAAAGCGUGGGUAGCAAACAGGAUUAGAUACCCGUGUAUG
rnacentral:rRNA from 1 species